rnacentral:rRNA from 1 species
UACAGAGGGUGCAAGCGUUAAUCGGAAUUACUGGGCGUAAAGCGUGCGUAGACGGUUAUGUAAGUCGGGUGUGAAAGCCCUCGGCUUAACCGAGGAAGUGCAUUCGAAACUACUGGACUUGAAUACUGAAGAGGAUCGCGGAAUUCCCGGUGUAGAGGUGAAAUUCGUAGAUAUCGGGAGGAACACCAGUGGCGAAGGCGGCGAUCUGGGCAGAUAUUGACGCUGAGGUGCGAAAGCGUGGGGAGCAAACAGGG